AAGGAAUUGGAGCGACUGAGAGGAGAAUUUGAAAUAUAUUAUACCAGUCAUCUCUUUCUCAAUGCAAAUGUUAAUAGUACAUAUGUGGUUUACUCAAAGACAGGCUUGCUCAUAUGUUAUAUAGCAUGAAUUUGGUCUAUCAUUGGCAACAUGCAUUGAUUUGGAUUGGACCGGACAUACUGGGUGACUCUUGAACUCUUUUGAGCAUAUAUUUGAGUGGUGCCCUUUUGCAGCUUAUAUUGGCAAAAGAUGAGAUUCAAGGGAAUGAUUUAGUAAGAUUUGAUCAUAAAAAGUGUGUAUUGUGGAAAAUGUUUUGAUCAAGAUAUGUGCAUGUGCACACUUUGUGAAAUCUAUACGUGUAUGCAAAUUGAUACUCAAUAGAGAUCUUGAAGCAUUUCUCUUUGUUGUA